AACACAUUAUCUUUAAAUCACACACAUUCCGACACGUGUUCCGGGGUGCUCCAACAAUAAAACUAUCGGCAACAACCGAAUAGAUGUUAGGGGUCGGAUACAUGGGGAAUGUGGAGGCCUAAC
rnacentral:sRNA from 1 species